GAUGAACGCUGGCGGCGUGCCUAAUACAUGCAAGUCGAGCGAACAGACGAGGAGCUUGCUCCUCUCACGUUAGCGGCGCAGGGGUGUGUCACACGUGUAUAACCUACCUAUCAGACUGGUAUAACUUCGGGACACCGGAGCUAAUACCGUAUAAUAUAUUGCACCGCGUGGUUCAAUAGUGAAAGACGGUUUUGCGGUCACUUAUAGAUGGAUCCGCGCCGCAUUAGCUAGUUGGUAAGGUAACGGCUUACCAAGGCAACGAUGCGUAGACGACGUGAGAGAGUGGUCGGCCACCCGGGAACGUAGACACGGACCAGACUCCUACGGGAGGCAGCAGUAGCGAACCUGCCGCAACGGGCGAAAGCCUGACGGAGCAGGGCCGCGUGAGAGAUGGAGGUCUUCCGAGCGUAAAACUCUGUUACUAGUGAAGAACAAAUGUGUCAGUAAACAUGCCCGUAUUGACGGUACCUAAUCAGAAAGCCCCGGCUAACUACGUG
rnacentral:rRNA from 1 species